GAGGCACCCUUAUGAAGCAAGACUUGCUUCAGUGGGGCUUUGGUGUUCACUGAGUCUGCCCCCUGAGUGUGUCCCU
rfam:Myotis lucifugus cont2.48487, whole genome shotgun sequence.